UCAUUUGCUACCGUCAAAUUACUACACGUAGUAACCAUUCUUGGCAAACAAAAGCAGUUUACAACCCAUAGGGCCGUCAUCCUGCACGCGGGAUGGCUGGUUCAGGCUCUCGCCC
rnacentral:rRNA from 1 species